rnacentral:rRNA from 1 species
CUAGGUCGUCGGCUGCUUCACAUGCAAGUUCGAGGGGUAUAGUUUCUUCGGAGCUAGAGACCGGCGCACGGGUGCGUAACGCGUAUGCAUUCUACCUUUUACAGAGGGAUAGCCCAUAGAAAUUUGGAUUAAUACCUCAUAGUAUUACGACUCGGCAUCGAGAUGUAAUUAAAGUCACAACGGUAAAAGAUGAGCAUGCGUCCCAUUAGCUAGUUGGUAAGGUAACGGCUUACCAAGGCUACGAUGGGUAGGGGUCCUGAGAGGGAGAUCCCCCACACUGGUACUGAGACACGGACCAGACUCCUACGGGAGGCAGCAGUGAGGAAUAUUGGACAAUGGGCGCAAGCCUGAUCCAGCCAUGCCGCGUGCAGGAUGACGGUCCUAUGGAUUGUAAACUGCUUUUAUACGAGAAGAAACAACUCUACGUGUAGAGUCUUGACGGUAUCGUAAGAAUAAGGAUCGGCUAACUCCGUGCCAGCAGCCGCGGUAAUACGGAGGAUCCAAGCGUUAUCCGGAAUCAUUGGGUUUAAAGGGUCCGUAGGCGGUUUAAUAAGUCAGUGGUGAAAGCCCAUCGCUCAACGGUGGAACGGCCAUUGAUACUGUUAGACUUGAAUUAUUAGGAAGUAACUAGAAUAUGUAGUGUAGCGGUGAAAUGCUUAGAGAUUACAUGGAAUACCAAUUGCGAAGGCAGGUUACUACUAAUGGAUUGACGCUGAUGGACGAAAGCGUGGGUAGCGAACAGGAUUAGAUACCCUGGUAGUCCACGCCGUAACGAUGGAUACUAGCUGUUGGAAGCAAUUUCAGUGGCUAAGCGAAAGUGAUAAGUAUCCCACCUGGGGAGUACGUUCGCAAGAAUGAAACUCAAGGAAUUGACGGGGGCCCGCACAAGCGGUGGAGCAUGUGGUUUAAUUCGAUGAUACGCGAGGAACCUUACCAAGGCUUAAAUGUAGUUUGACCGGUUUGGGAACAGAUCUUUCGCAAGACAAAUUACAGUGCUGCAUGGGUUGUCGUCAGCUCGUGCCGUGAGGUGUCAGGUUAAGUCCUAUACGAGCGCAACCCCUGUUGUAGUGCAGCGAGUCAUGUCGGACUCUAACAAGACUGCAGUGCAAACUGUAGAAAGUGGGGAUGACGUCGAUCAUCACGGCCCUUACGCUUGGGCUACAACGUGCUACAUGCGUACAGAAGAGCCAUGCGACUGGACGAGUCUAUAAACGGUUCAGAUUCGAUCGGAAUCUGUGCCA